GUUACGACUUAUCACUAAGGAGAGUGACGGAAUAUGAACCCUAUUUAUAACAAGUUCGAUUAUUUUCCUACUUUUUAGUAUUAAUUUUUUAAAAAUUAUUUCAAUUAUUAAACUAAGUGAUAUUUGAAAAAUUUAAAUCUUAAUUUAUUUUUAAAACCACACGCAAAUUAAAAUUUAGUAAAUAAAAUUGUGGAAUAUCAAUUUAUUAAUCAAAAUUCUCUAAAUUAAAUAGCUAAUUUAGUUUGAGUUUAAUACCUAAAAAAAAUUCAUACCCGGCUUCUAUCCCGACUUUGUGAAAUUUUCUUCUUAAUAAAAUUAAUUUUUUAAUUCUUAUAACUGAAUAAAAAUUUUAUUUUUCUAUUAAAAAAUCUAGUUUUUUAGAAGUAUAACCGCA
rnacentral:rRNA from 1 species